CAGUCAGCCUGCCUCACCCCCCUCUACCGGUCAACCAGUCUCAACCUACCUGACUGGUCAGUCUGUUCCAACCUCCCCUGCUAGUUUGUUGGCCCCCCUCCGAGAAGUUGCUGGAGCUGAGGGCGUGGUUAGAGUCCAUGUCUCCUUUUCCCUGGCUGACCUUUCCAAAAUUGAAGAAUGACUCGGUGACUUCUCAGCCAACCCCACCCAAUAUUCCAGAGUUUUGAUACCUAGGCCAGGCAUAUGACCUUACCUGGCAUGACUUACAUGUCAUUCUUACUUCCACUCUUAACCCAGAGGAAAGAGAGUGCAUUCUUGCAGCCGCCAGGCAGCAUGCAGACCAGUUACACUUAACUGACCUGGCCAGCCCAGUAGGCAAACAAGCUGUCCCAUCUACAGAUCCUGAAUGGGACUACCAACCUCAACAACCCGGGCGUCGCAGAAGAGACCUUAUGAUACAAUGCCUCUUAGCUGGCAUGCAGGCAGCCUCUAACAAAAUAGUAAAUUUUAAUAAGUUACAGGAGGUUAUUCAAUACUCAGAGGAAAAUCCUGUCUCCUUUUUAAAUCGCCUUAUGGAGGCACUUCUCCAAUUUACCCGACUGGAUCCUACCCCUCCGGCAGGAGCCACUGUCCUUGCCAGUUAUUUUAUUUCCCAGUUGGCCCCUGACAUCCGAAAAAAAAAAAUUAAGAAAGGUAGAGGAUGGACCUCAAACCCCCAUUCAGGACUUAGUCACGCUAGCUUUCGAAGUUUUUAACUCUAGAGAGGAAACAGCUGAGGCUCUUCGACAAGCCAGAGUAGAAUAGAAGGCCGCCCUUCAGGCACAAGCUUUAGUGGCUGCCCUCCAACCCGUGUUGCCCACUUUGCCGGCAGGGAAAACCGGAUAUAAGUCUCUUAAGGACUCCUGCUAUAAAUGCGGAGACCCAGGACACUGGGCAAACCAGUGUCCCCAGGCCAAGCCGGCCACUCCGUCUGGUCCAUGCUUUAAGUGUGGCACAACUGGGCAUUGGGCAAAAAGGUGUCCAAAUCCUCACCUGCCUACCACGCCAUGCCCAACCUGCCAACAGGAAGGACACUGGAAGUCUGAUUGCCCCGCCAGCAGGGCAGGCAUUGCAGCUCAACGUGGUGCCUCUCCUCAAGGGUCGGAAGGCUCCUUCCAGCUCCUACACCUGGACGACGACUGACGGUGCCCACACUUGGAGACCCCGGUCACCCUCGCUGACCCCAGGGUAACUCUACAGGUAGCGGGUAAGCCAAUUUCUUUUCUCGUCAAUACGGAGGCUACCUAUUCUGUUUUACAAUUAUAUUCUGUUUUGCCAACCUACGGAGGUCCUAGCCAGCCAUCCACUAACUCAGUAGUUGGGGUAGACAGUAAACUGUCUAACCCUCGCCAGACCCCAAUGUUAAAUUACUGCCUGGACUAUGCAUGCUUUGCCCACUCUUUCCUCAUCAUGCCCUCUUGUCCCACCCCCCUCUUGGGACGAGACAUCUUAACCUAACUCAAAACAUCGAUUCCCCUUCCCUUUCUCCAGGUGACCAGCUUCUACUCAAGGAUCAACACCCUCCUCAAACUUUCCUGCUUCCUCACUAGUCUUCAUCUUAACUGAUUUUUCCCUUAUAGACCCCAUAGACACCCUCCUGCCCGACCCAUCCCCCAACCAGUGGAUUUCCUGACUUUUUACUCUCAUAAAAGACCUAGCUUGGCAGGGUGCCCUUUGUAAUUUCAGCAAUGUUGAACUUACUCUCCACAUGCUUGCCACCAUUAUUAUGGUUCACUCUAAUCCCCCUAGUUACCCCUACUAAUCCUAACUUUGUAUGCAGAUUCUCUAUAACUGAAACCUGGUCUACAGACAACCAGAUACACUCAGUCAUGCAGGGCACUGCAGAUUGUGCCCCCCCUCCAGCCAGGGUCCAAGAAAUCACCCGCAUCACCUUCAACCAGAUGCUCCUACAUCCCUACGUCCAGAUACCAACCACAGACCCUAACUACGCCCCUUAACAGCAGGAAGCAGCCAGACAGACAAUGAUGCCCCCAAUCACUAUAAUCAAUAAAAGUUUGGACUGUCUGGAUGGGAGGAGAGGACAAAGACGACUAAGAUGGCACAUUUCCGGGUUCUUCAUCACCAACUUACCCGCGCAGGAAAAUGCAGCCCACGCCCGGGAAAAAUACAGACCAACUGCGCAGGUGCAACAUGGCGUCCGAUUGAGGAAACCAAAACUUACCUGGCCACACCUAUGGAACGCCCCCGACACGCCCGUGUCCCACCUAUUGCCCUCCCACUCCCAAGCCUUAGACAGAAAAGCCGCUCCCGGCAGGCGCGCGGCAUGAACUUCCUCAGCCCCUCCUCAUAUGCGGACCUAGGAACCUCGCCCGAGAACGCCGGAGCGACUUCCUCGGCCUCCACCGCCGGAGACCGGUGAACCUCGCCCUUUCUUCCUUCACAUUGGCUAGCUAAUAAAGUUUCUUUUUACCUUG